CAAGUACUCCCUCCGUCCGAAAAUAUUUGUCAUCAAAAUGGAUAAAAAAGAUGUAUCUAGAACUAAUAUACAUCUAGAUACAUCCCCUUUUAUUCAUUUUGAUGACAAGUAUUUCCGGACGGAGGGAGUACUAC
rnacentral:pre_miRNA from 1 species